AGCAGCCGCGGUAAUUCCAGCUCCAAUAGCGUAUAUUAAAGUUGUUGCAGUUAAAAAGCUCGUAGUUGAAUUUCGGGAUUCUACCGUCGGUCGGGCUACCAAGUCUGUACUGGCGUGUAGAAUUCCUACCUUCUGGGGAACCAUCAUGUUAUUAAUUUAGCGUGGUGGGAAACCAGGACCUUUACCUUGAAAAAAUUAGAGUGUUCAAAGCAGGCUUAUGUCUGAAUACAUUAGCAUGGAAUAAUAGAAUAGGACGGUGGUCCUGUUUUGUUGGUUUCUGAAUCACCGUAAUGAUUAAUAGGGAUAGUUGGGGGCAUUAGUAUUCAAUUGUCAGAGGUGAAAUUCUUGGAUUUAUUGAAGACUAACUUCUGCGAAAGCAUUUGCCAAGGAUGUUUUCAUUAAUCAAGAACGAAAGUUAGGGGAUCGAAGACGAUCAGAUACCGUCGUAGUCUUAACCAUAAACUAUGCCGACUAGGGAUCGGACGAUGUUAAAUUUUAUUGACUCG
rnacentral:rRNA from 1 species